CUACGGGGGGCACCAGUGGGGAAUAUUGCACAAUGGAGGAAACUCUGAUGCAGCAACGCCGCGUGGAGGAUGACACUUUUCGGAGCGUAAACUCCUUUUAUAUAGGAAGAAGAUGACGGUACUAUAUGAAUAAGCGCCGGCUAACUCCGUGCCAGCAGCCGCGGUAAUACGGAGGGCGCAAGCGUUACUAGGAAUCACUGGGCGUAAAGAGCGUGUAGGCGGAUUAGAAAGUCAGAAGUGAAAUCCUAUAGCUUAACUAUAGAACUGCUUCUGAAACUCUUAAUCUAGAAUAUGGGAGAGGUAGAUGGAAUUUCUGGUGUAGGGGUAAAAUCCGUAGAGAUCAGAAGGAAUACCGAUUGCGAAGGCGAUCUACUAGAACAUUAUUGACGCUGAGACGCGAAAGCGUGGGGAGCAAACAGGAUUAGAUACCCGCGUAGUC
rnacentral:rRNA from 1 species